UACGAAGGGGGCUAGCGUUGCUCGGAAUCACUGGGCGUAAAGGGUGCGUAGGCGGGUCUUUAAGUCAGAGGUGAAAUCCCAAGGCUCAACCUUGGAACUGCCUUUGAUACUGGAGAUCUUGAGUCCGGGAGAGGUGAGUGGAACUGCGAGUGUAGAGGUGAAAUUCGUAGAUAUUCGGAAGAACACCAGUGGCGAAGGCGGCUCACUGGACCGGCAUUGACGCUGAGGUGCGAAAGCGUGGGGAGCAAACAGG
rnacentral:rRNA from 1 species